rnacentral:misc_RNA from 1 species
GAUGAAGAACGCAGCGAAAUGUGAUACUUGGUGUGAAUUGCAGAAUCCCGUGAACCAUCGAGUCUUUGAACGCAAGUUGCGCCCGAAGCCAUUAGGCCGAGGGCACGCCUGCCUGGGCGUCACACGUCGUUGCCCCCCCAUCUAAUCCUUCGGGAUUGCGGGGGGCGGAUGAUGGCCUCCCGUGCGCCUCGUCGCGCGGUUGGCAUAAAUGCCAAGUCCUCGGCGACGCACGCCACGACAAUCGGUGGUUGCGAAACCUCGGUUGCCCGUCGUGUGCGGUCGUCGCGCAUCGAGGGCUCGAAAAAAUUGCCGGGCUCCGGCUCGACUUUCAACGCGACCCCAGGUCAGGCGGGGUUACCCGCUGAAUUUAAGCAUAUCAAUAAGCGGAGGA